rnacentral:rRNA from 1 species
UACGUAGGUGGCAAGCGUUGUCCGGAUUUACUGGGCGUAAAGAGCGCGCAGGCGGUCGUUCAAGUCGAGUGUGAAAGCCCCCGGCUCAACUGGGGAGGGUCACUCGAUACUGAUCGACUCGAAGGCAGAAGAGGGAAGCGGAAUUCCCGGUGUAGUGGUGAAAUGCGUAGAUAUCGGGAGGAACACCAGUGGCGAAGGCGGCUUCUUGGUCUGCUCUUGACGCUGAGGCGCGAAAGCUAGGGUAGCAAACGGG